GCCAUGAUAGUUUAGUGGCAGAAUACGCGCUUCCCAAGCGCGUGGCCGGGGUCCGAUUCCCCGUCAUGGCA
rfam:Absidia glauca strain CBS 101.48 genome assembly, contig: contig_8932